CUGAGGGAUAGAGCCCAGGGCCUCAAGCAUGCUGGGUAAGUGCUAUUACUAAGCUAUACCCCAGCCCAGUAAGUGCAUUUUGAAGGUAGUGUAUUUGUCAGUUUUGUUCACUGGGUAUCCUCAUUAUCUGGUAUAGUUCUUAGCACAUACUGAGUACUCUUUAAAUAUUUCUUGAACUAAUGAACUGAAAAGUGUGUGUUAAAGUUGCUAAGUGCUACUGUGUAAUUCUUUUUUGUGUGUCUAAAUUUUAAAUUCCAGUAAUAUAUUUAUACAAGAUUUGCAUAACUUUGUCUCCAAACGAUAGUUUGCUUUCUAAUAACCUUCAUAUUAAAAUAUGGACUAUAUACUGUUCUCUGUAAUAAAAUAUCCUGCCUUAUAGAAAUGAAAUAUGACAUUUUAUAUAAAUGCUGCUAUAUUAUAUAAGUUGCUUCAUUAAGCUAUAAAUAAUUUUAAUUUCAAUUUGUUGGUUAUAUUCAAUGAACUCCUGAAGGUCUUAAGAUUUUUAACUUUUAGAGGGGAUAUAUUACAUUUUCUUAAAACUUUUACAUAUUUUCAUGGUCUAUUAAUAGCUGUUACUAAAUUUAUUUUCUAAGUGCAAGUCUAUGAAGAAAAACAAUUACAGAAAACUUAAAACUUUACAGAUGAUCUGUUCUUAGGUUCUGUGUUUCUAGAUAAAAGAGUGAGACCCAGACAGGUAACAUAGUUUGCCUGGGAAUCCUACAGCUACCAGCAAUGAUACCAGGACUUCUCAUUGUUAAUAUAUAGCUUCAUUCUCUUGCUCCAAAAUAUUAUAAAAAGGACAUAAUAUGACAAAAAAGGCUUUAUUAAAAUUUUGUUAUUAGUACAUUGAUUCUUUAGAAAUAUUUAUAUUCUUACCAUCAUUCAUACUUACAUAAAAUUAGUUCUACAAAAUAAUAGCACAGGAAAUAAGACCUGCCACAAAAAAAUAAAGAAAUUUCCUAAAAAUAGCAUGAUUACAGAACAAUAGAACAUUCUAGAAUCAUUGAGCAAACUGGGUUUCAGGAAACAAAGCUAAGCCUCUUAAAGUAGUAACUUAUGGAGCACAGUCUCUUCCAUUUUCUUUAUAAUUAUCUUCAAGCUAAAAGUAAAGAUAGCCUUCAGUUUGACAGAGAAUUGGACCAUACAUUAUUAUAAACAUUGGUUAGUUCUAUGUUACUAAGUUUCAAAAGCUGCAGGGUAAUCAGAUUUUUCUGGGCUUCCCAAUGUAGCUCUAGAGACUCUAGUAAACAUAAGUCAUAAAUUUGAUUUUGCUUUGGUGCUUAGAAACAGUUUAAUAAAUAAGAAAGAAAAAAAUGAAUAAAAGGAGAAGAAAAUAAAAUACAACAAAAUAGCUGGACCAUUUUUUUUUACUUUAAAAAAAUGCUGGGAGUUUAGGAUCAUACCAUAAAUCGCUUAAGUACACCUCACAAUAUUGAGCCCCCCUACACACAUUGUUUCCACUGUUUAAGAAAUGAUAGUCAUGCACAAUCACAACCAUUUCAACUUGCAUCCCAUCUGUAGAUGUUAAAUCUAGUCUCAGAGGCUGCAAAACUUAUGAAUUCUUAAGUUAUAAGAAAGACAUUCAAGAUCUUAAUCCAUGUGUGAAUAUCCACAACUAGUCAUUCUACAUAACUUAUAUCUUCAAAUCCUGGAUAGAUUUCUAAUUCAUUUGGGCCACGUAAAUCCAAUUGUCUUAAGGCAGCUUGUGUUGCAGGAUUCAGCCGCUUCCCAACCCUUUUCUCCAAGUGUGUUAAAAUAAGGACUAGAUAAGAUCAACCCCUCUUCUCCACAGUGCAGGAUGCAUCUGGUUUUACUAUAUUAUGUUCAAACUGCUAUUAAUUAUAAGCUAUUGUAUGAAUUUAAGGUGUUGAGUGAACACCAGAAAUGUGUUUUAAAUACUUUGUGUAAAUUUGUGCCCAACUUUUGUUUUAUAUUGUUCAAUAAAUUCUAAAGGAAAUUUUCAUUGUAUUUGUUUUUAAAAUCCUUCUGAAAUAGUAGUGAUGCAGGGCAGUCUUCUGUCUUCAAAAACAAAAUCCACUUUAAUGACACUUGUGUGUCAUUAUAAAGUUAUCCUUUUUUUCUGUAAAGAGAACAAAU
rnacentral:lncRNA from 1 species